rnacentral:pre_miRNA from 1 species
GCUCUAACGAUGACACUGAUCUUUCCAUAGUAAUUAAUAAGUGCUAUUUGUUGGAGUA